ACGAUGUUCCUCUCCUUCUCAGUUGGAUCGAGCAAGAAAAGGAAAGCGACCGCGAACACUGUCUGCUUCCCCCUCUAACUCGUCGGGUGGUUCAACCCCCAGAAUUUUCCAACAGUGAUUCGAUGAUUAUGAACGUAAAUUCUAAAAGAUCAAUCGCUAACUCGCUCAGCUUCAAGUGGAAGAUCGGAAGUCCUCCAACGACUACGACUUCCACACCGUCCAACCGCUUUCUCGGCACGUCUUGGACCAACUGAUCCCAUCUUGGUUCAAGAUGCCUCAGGUGGAGUGUCACGCUUCCGAUCCGAGAUUGUGAGUCGAAGGUCAUGGCAAUCACCGC
rnacentral:lncRNA from 1 species